rnacentral:rRNA from 1 species
UCGCCUGUUUAUCAAAAACAUGGUUUUUUGUUUAUAUAAAAGAUCUGGCCUGCCCAGUGAUAUUUUAAAUGGCUGCAGUAUACUGACUGUACAAAGGUAGCAUAAUCAUUUGUCUCUUAAUUGGAGUCUGGAAUGAAUGGUUGGAUGAAAAAUUUUCUUUCUUUGUUUUAAAUAUAAAACUUGAUUUUUGAAUCAAAAAGUUCAAAUAUUGAUAUAGGACGAGAAGACCCUAUAGAACUUUAUUCUCAUCAAAUUAAUAAACUUUUAGUUUAUUAUUUUAAGUUAGUUUGAUGAGAAUUUGGUUGGGGUGACAAAAAAAUUUUUAUAACUUUUUUUAUUUUUUUCAUUUAUGUAUGUUUUGUUGAUCUUUUAAUAGGAAAUUAAGAUUAAGUUACCUUAGGGAUAACAGCGUUAUUACUUUAGAAAGUUCAUAUUGAUGAAGUAGUUUGCGACCUCGAUGUUGGAUUAAAAUUAGUUUUAGGGGCAGAAAAUUAAAUAACUAGGUCUGUUCGACCUUUAAAUUUUUACAUGAUCUGAGUUCAAACCGGAGA